UGCUGUUGUAAAUAGUGCUAUGAUGAACGU
rnacentral:piRNA from 1 species